rnacentral:tRNA from 9 species
GCGAACGUGGCGAAGUGGUUAACGCAUCGGAUUGUGGCUCCGACACUCGGGGGUUCGAUUCCCCUCGUUCGCC